rnacentral:rRNA from 1 species
GACGAACCAUCCAAACGUUAUUCGGAAUUACUGGGCGUAAAGCGCGCGUAGGCGGCUUUGUAAGUUAGAGGUGAAAGCCCGGAGCUUAACUCCGGAACUGCCUUUAAGACUGCAUCGCUAGAAUCGUGGAGAGGUGAGUGGAAUUCCGAGUGUAGAGGUGAAAUUCGUAGAUAUCGGGAGGAACAUCUGUGGCGAAGGCGACACCCUGGACCAGCACUGACACUGAGGCACGAAAGCGUGGGGAGCAAACAGG